AUUGAACGCUGGCGGCAGGCCUAACACAUGCAAGUCGAGCGCGAAAGGUCUUCGGACCGAGUAGAGCGGCGGACGGGUGAGUAACGCGUAGGAAUCUACCUGGUAGUGGGGGACAACAUGGGGAAACUCAUGCUAAUACCGCAUACGCCCUAAGGGGGAAAGCGGGGGACCUUCGGGCCUCGUGCUAUCAGAUGAGCCUGCGUAGGAUUAGCUUGUUGGUAAGGUAAUGGCUUACCAAGGCGACGAUCAGUAUCUGGUUUGAGAGGACGAUCAGACACACUGGAACUGAGACACGGUCCAGACUCCUACGGGAGGCAGCAGUGGGGAAUUUUCCGCAAUGGGCGAAAGCCUGACGGAGCAAUACCGCGUGAGGGA
rnacentral:rRNA from 1 species